GACGAACACUGGCGGCGUGCUUAACACAUGCAAGUCGAGCGGAAAGGCCCUGCUUUUGUGGGGUGCUCGAGUGGCGAACGGGUGAGUAACACGUGAGUAACCUGCCCUUGACUUUGGGAUAACUUCAGGAAACUGGGGCUAAUACCGGAUAGGAGCUCCUGCUGCAUGGUGGGGGUUGGAAAGUUUCGGCGGUUGGGGAUGGACUCGCGGCUUAUCAGCUUGUUGGUGGGGUAGUGGCUUACCAAGGCUUUGACGGGUAGCCGGCCUGAGAGGGUGACCGGCCACAUUGGGACUGAGAUACGGCCCAGACUCCUACGGGAGGCAGCAGUGGGGAAUAUUGCACAAUGGGCGGAAGCCUGAUGCAGCAACGCCGCGUGCGGGAUGACGGCCUUCGGGUUGUAAACCGCUUUCGCCUGUGACGAAGCGUGAGUGACGGUAAUGGGUAAAGAAGCACCGGCUAACUACGUG
rnacentral:rRNA from 1 species